GACGAACGCUGGCGGCGUGCUUAACACAUGCAAGUCGAACGGAAAGGCCUUUUCGGAGGUACUCGAGUGGCGAACGGGUGAGUAACACGUGGGUGAUCUGCCCUGCACUCUGGGAUAAGCCUGGGCAACUGGGUCUAAUACCGGAUAGGACCGCACUUUUGUUGGUGUGGGGGAAAGUGUUUGCGGUGUGGGUUGAGCCCGCGGCCUAUCAGCUUGGUGGUGGGGUAAUGGCCUACCAAGGCGGCGACGGGUAGCCGGACUGGGGGGGUGGUCGGCCACAUUGGGGCUGGGAUACGGGCCAGACUCCCACGGGAGGGAGGAGUGGGGAAAAUUCCACAAUGGGCGCGAGCCUGAUGCAGCGACGCCGCGGGGGGGAUGACGGGCUUUGGGUUGUAAACCCGUUUCGCCAGGGACGAAGCGUUUUGUGACGGUACCUGGAGAAGAAGCACCGGCUAACUACGUG
rnacentral:rRNA from 1 species